UCAGCUGAUGCAAUAAGAGCAGAGAAGUGAGCAGACUUCGCUACCCUUAUCGCCCCGGAAUACUCCCGAAGAUAAGAGAAUAACCAUGCUCAGUCAGCUUCGGCAUUAGUUUUCCUCCAGUGGUGCUCCAGGCAGCUCUUAAGGGGGAAGCUGCUCUGAAGUGAAUUGGCAAGUCUGUUCUGGCCCUCUGUGCCGCUCAGGCACAGCAGUAUCAGUUAAACCAGCUCAGAAAUAAUGAAUAGAAAAUUCCCAGGCAGAUGUUCCAAUGAAUGAGGGUGGUAUGAAGAUGAUGGAUGAGCAAUGGCAGGUUGUUUGUGAAAAAAAUGAUAUGCUGAGGACACAUCAGGUGUGAGAAACAUCCAGCAAUCAUGAGCAGCCCUACAGUUUCUGCAGAUAUUUUACCCUUUAGUGGAGAUACAGCACAUGCAGAUUAAAAUUCUGUGUGAAUGCAAACAUCUGGCUCAUCACAUCAGCAUUUUUUGAACCAAGGAGCUGUCCCAUAAAGUCAAAACAAAGUACACUCUUACGAUCAUGUCUUGUAACUUACAUAUGCUUUCAGGAUCUUCUACUGGAAAACAGAAUGCUGGGAAGCUAAUCCUAAAUCGAAAGCAAAUGGGAGGGGUUAUGGCCAUUUUAUAGGAAUCGGUGUAAUAAG